rnacentral:lncRNA from 1 species
CAACGAGCCAAUUGCAGGGCUCUGGGAGACCAGGAGCGGUUCGGAGAGAGGCAGAGACGAGAGCCGAAGCCUGGCCAACUAAAAAGCGCGGAGAAGUUUAUGGGCGGAAGCGCCGACCUAUCCAGCUGUUGGGUGCCGGAAGAGGACGGACCUAAGAUGGCGGCGCCCACAGAUGCCGGGAAGAACCGCUCAUGUCGGGGAACGCAGCGGUGUGGGGGCGGGUGCGGAGCCGCCUCCGCGCCUUCCCCGAACGCCUGUCAGCCUGUGGGGCCGAGGCCGCGGCCUACGGCCGGUGCGUGCAGGCGUCCACGGCCCCGGGCGGCCGCCUGAGGAAGGACCUCUGUGCGCAGGAGUUCGAGGCCCUGCGGAGCUGCUUCCUUGCCGCGGCCAAGAAGACCCAGAAGGGAGGCCAUUAGGAAGGAGGAGGACUGUGCUUGACAUCCAUUUGCUGCCCAAGGGCACAGAGCCAGGCACCUUGUCCUGACGGCCCCAAGGGGCAAACAUCUAACGUUCUUAGGGCUAAAAGGACCUCAAUGUGUAUGCUGAGCCCAAGGCAAAGAGGAAGCGGUUUUCUGUAUUAGAAUAAGAUGCCGUGAACCAACAAUAAAGACGUGAAUCAACAAUAAAGAUGGCAGCAGAUCACGCGGGAUCCCUCUUUUGUGCAUUUUCACCAGUAUGUCAUCUCAAUCCAAUGGAGCAUCUAGAUGUAUCUCAGUUGACAGAAUGUACCAGAGACAACAGCGACACCGUGAGGCAGAGUUCCGCUCUGCGAGGAAUCCCAUACCCAGGCAUGCUCUUCUAGACUAAGGCAGUGAAGACAGGUGUGAGCCAAGAGGGGUUUUGGUUUAGGAAGCCAGUGAGGCUGGCCAAAGCUGCAGGCUCCCCUCCCCGCGUGGGCUGGCUGCUCACCAUUCCACAGCCUCCUUCGGAGUCAGUGCAAGCCCAUCCGGGCCACAGCUCCCAGCCUCCCUAGUGCCACACCCCCCUCCCCGCUUGUCCUGAGAAUAAGGUUAGGGGUGCAGCACCGCCCCUCCCAACACACAUGGGCACAGGCAGGCCCCGCGACAAUGGGCAGCGCCCUCAGUGCCCACUGCCCUGAACACCACCUGCCGGGUGCAUGGGGACUGUGCUCCAAAGAGCAUCCUCCCAGGGACCUGGAGGGCACACUGUCCUUGGGCCCACCCAGCCCCUGGCGUCCAGAGCCCCCUGCCAGGAGCCGAGGUCUGCACUCCCUUUUUCUCAAGUGAACACAACUCCACAAUUAGCCUGACUCCCCCCAUGCGGAGAGCAUCACAUCUCAGACGUGAGCGUCCGCCUCAGUGAAGAGGAGAAGCUGGCCGCUAUCAAGGGCUCUGUCCUGCUGGGCAGAGUCACAUCUCACGGGAACCACUGGAAUUAAGGUCCAGAAACUGGUGACACGACCCCCCUGCCCCUGCUGGGGUGACGGGAGGCCCCCAGAUAGCUCGAGGGCCUACGGGAGGAAGGGGUGAGCCAGGGAAGCGGGCUUCCUAGGAGCCCCCCGAGCACAGCUGUGCAGUCUCCACUGCCCAGCCGCGUAUUGCCACCCGGCCGGCGCACCCAGCCUUCCUGGGCAGACUUCUCUUCCCGACCCUCCUGCCCUCCACUCCGACCCUCGACAGCUUGUCGGCUAGAGCUUCCCGUAUCUUCGCUGGGCACACCCACUCCAGCCCUUCCAGAACUGUCCCCCCAGGUGCUGUCUCCUGCGUCCUUUCAAUCUCCAAUGCACUGGGGCAGAUGGAGUCCCCACGUCUCACAUCUCACACAGGGCCAGCCCGCGCUCCAUGUCAGACUCCCUUCCGACCUCCGCGGCCUUCAUCCCUGCUCCUCUGGCCUCCCCCAACUCACUUCAUCUUCAAGACUACAUUUAUAGAAGGGAGUUCAACAAAGUUGGCGUGGGGUGCAGCAAAGACAACUUCCGCCACCUCUACAGCCGGUCAUCGCGUAGAACUCAUCAUGUGCGGCUCCAUGCCGUUCGCCUGUCUUGGCCCUCAGGCAAGGGCCUCUGAAUUCACUGAGGACUCAGCUCCACUGGGGUUCCCUCCUCGCUCGGUGGAGGCCGACAUGGCCUUGGCCCAGCUCCUUUGCGCCCAGUUGGCUUGGUGGCCCCACUCUAGAAUGGGAGCCCUGCAGGCAGGGUUGCGUCCAGGGCAGACCUGGCCCGUCUGCUGCGAUCAGUAGCCAACACUGAGGGUGGCC